GCCAAUUUGAUUACCACAACAAGUUAACAGUUGCUCUAAGCAGUGCAAAAUGAUGUCUUACCAAUAAACCCAUGUCUGAAAAAUACAUAUCGGGUAAAAAGAAUAAACAUGCCUUUGGUGGUUCAAGCUUGUUUGAAAUAAUAAGAGGAUGCUGUAGUUACGAAUGUGCAACGGAGACCACAAUAUGGAACUACUGUGCAAGAUGCCUAAAAUAUGCCCCUGAAAUAUCUGGGAAUGUGUCUAGCAGAAGGA